rnacentral:misc_RNA from 1 species
AAGUCGUAACAAGGUUUCCGUAGGUGAACCUGCGGAAGGAUCAUUAACACGUAUCCAACGUUAAACCCCCCGUGCACACAGCGACCUGCUCCCCUCAAUUUCGGUCUUUUGGCAAUCCCUGGUAAAUCAUCGCCGAACAGUUUUGAUUCAGGGACCUCUAUUAUAAGAACGAGUCUAACCAUAUAGCAUAUAGCAAUGGACCUGGCAUUCCUCUGCUUGUUAGUGUCUGAAAGUGUCACUAGCUCUGUACGGAUGGCGCAGUAACGAUCGCUAGAGGCCGACACGGCCGGCGACCAGGUCCCUGGGUGAAAGCCCCCUAUAGUCACCUCCAUUGCACGAUUAACGCGGUGUGCGAUUCGUACGCACCCUCCAUAAAAUGCUUAGAACAACUGUUAACAAUGGAUAUCUUGGUUCUC